CCACCCUCAUGGCAGCGAUCUGUGGAGGGAGAGAGGGGAGCUGAGGUGAGGGACACACCAGGGACAGCAUGGCAGUGACAAGUGAGCCAGAAGUUGCUGCAUGGCACAUCACAGGAAUGCCUGAAAGGAUCAAUCCCAGCUGUUUGAAGCCAACAGUACAGAAGACAGGAGGGAGCAAACAUCCCCUGGAAGCUGUGUGCUUUGUCAUGUUAAUCCUCUUUGUUCUGACUUGGCAAAAACUGAGUGUAUUAAUCCCAAAUUCUGCAGCAGUCCCACCAAAGUCAACAGCAAAGUUCACUACUUGUGAAUUGUUCACACUCGUGCAUGAGUAAGUGACUACAGAAUGUCAGUGCUGCCACCAGACUCAAGAUCUGCAACAGCCCAACUUUCUUCACUACUGGACAGAUAAAGUUCACUGUAUCAUAAAGACAAACUUGCUAUUGGACUUUGAAACUCUAAAACUUGGAAAUGUCUGCAGGAGAAGGAAAGGUAGAUUGAAUCCCCUUUUAUGGAGGAGCAAGGAGACUGAGUACUCCUUAAAAUACUCCAGCCCUGAGGCAGGCAGCACACGAGCCUUGCAAAACAGAUGGCUGGGACGCUCCCAUCUGUCUUACGUGAACACUAUCAGCCAGGAACCAGCUUCUCUCUCUUCUAUCUCCAGAGCAGCAUAAAGGAAUUAAGGCAAGCCAGUGGCUUCAGACCAAUAAGUACAGAUAGAUUGCAUCUGACAAUCUGAACUACACUGUACCCUGGAGAGACGCAUCCUCCAGCAGACCUCGCAUUUCAACUUCUUUCUGUUACCUAAACUUUUUCUGCACAGACUAAACAAUCUCAUUUUACACUCAAUUAUAGAAAGCUCACAGCACGGCCGGGGGGGCUGUGGAAAGUUGUAAGUUGAAAUAUUUUUAAACAAGCUGACGACACCGCACAGCUAUGAAAAGUUGGGGUGAAGCAAUCAAACAGCGCAGAGCCAGAGCUGCAAAGUGACUCCAGAUUUGAACUUCCCCGUGCGAGUCCAGGAGUCAGUUCAGUUCAUUAUAAAGAAGAGGUUUGGCUCCAGAAUUAAUGUUUAGAUCCAAUCCUCCACAGAGAUGAGUGAUGUUUGGCUCAGGAUUCUGGUGGCAGGCCCAUCACUAAUGAAAAGCAUUUCUUAAAAUCCCAAGCCAGAUCUUCAGUGUAAUUGAGUGUAGAUCCCAUUACUGACCCUAAGCACCAAACUUCAGCGGAAAACCCAGGCUGCCAGCUCUAACUCGUACAAGGCUUAGCUUACUCGGCACCAAAAGCCAUGCCGGGGUCUCGAUGCAGACAAAAGGGGCCACCAACUUACGUUCGGGCUUGCUCUCGCAGUUGAACCCUCGGCUCCCACCGUAGCAGGUACAGACCAGCGUGUUUCCCAGCUUUAUUCUCCCCAGUUCAAAAAAAAAACCAAAAACAUUUGAUAUCAGCAAGUGGUUGGCUCCAGCCUCAGUGUCUUCAGCAGAGUCCGGAUCCCCACAGGGGAGAGGCAGCCAGACCGGCAGACCUGGCAUGGUGACUUGCUGCAGAACUCCUUCCACAUUCCAUAGGCAAGGAAUGCCCCCACCGGCUGCAUUUGUACGCCCAGGCUGUCUGCACAGAGAUCCUCUUGCAAGGAAGCAAUGCUCCAGAGCCCAAUGGCCCUACAAUACGAGGAGAGACAGCUCAUAGCUCUUCAUGGUUUAGUCAAGUUGGCUGCAGUCAGGGGUAAAGAAACAGAUGCAGAACAGGAUGAUCUCAGGAGAUCCCCAGGGAAUGGCAAGGCUACCAGACGAGCUCUGCCCUGGAGUGAAUGUGUCGGGUGGGGCACAAGCCAGAGGUACCAAAGACAUUUCAACCGAUCAGCAGGGGAUCAUGUUCUCUUGGACACCCAGGAGUGCUGGAUAAUGAAGUGCUGGGCUAAAGGAGGCACAACCUUUCUGUCACAGCACUGCAAAAUGCCCCGCAAACAUCACCCACAAACCCAGGCAGCAUCAGUGGUGGUUUCCUUCCAUGGACUCACCUUCCCUCUCUGACUCUGUACCCACCAGAGGAGACAGGAGGUAGGAGACUCCUGAGAACCUGAAAUGCAGGGGCUGAAGCUGAAGGUUGAAGUGUGUGGAGGUGCUCAGCUAUUGCAGGAUGGUUUGAGGUGUUUGACCUCAGUCUGCACAUCUGAUGCUCUCCAAAAAGCACUGAAGACUGAGCCCUCUGUCCCUCUCGGAGACCUUCUUUGCUCUCAAGUGCCCAAAAAUACACAUUUGUGGUAAGGAGAAGAGAAACCCCCCUGGCCCUCUUUCCAAGUUGCUGCAUUGGGAUGGUGACAGAUUUCAACGGUAAAAGCCAAGAGCAGAGCAAAUCUGACAGGACUGGCAGCAUCCCAUCGGGAACCAGCUGUGCCCAAAGCACCAAAAUCAUCAUCUCAUGCUUUUGUACAGGCAUCUGGGGAACCCCCUCGGACAAGAGGCGGCAGCGCUGUGUGGUGCCACCAGGGCAAGUUGAGGUGUUCAGGCUGUUUAAGGCCAUCAGGCAAUGAAAGAUCAAUGGCUGUGCAAUUACAGAUGGACAGGAGACAGUGAUAUGCUGGUGGUGUUGCUUUGUCAGCAAGUAAAGAGGGAAGAUGAGCCAAGAAGCAAUGGAGGAGCCUCUGGACGCUGCAUGGGGAAUGGGAGAUCUCAGGGUCCUCUGCCACGGAUUCUCAGGUGACUUCUAAAUUUCAAUUAAUUCAUCGGCCCCAAAAUCCAUCUUCCUAAGUUAAAAGGUGACAUUAUGUGAGAAGGACUUGUUUUUAUUGUUUCUGGAAGAUCCCAGUGCUGGGGCUUUACUCUCAGCCUGGGCUCCCAGCUCCCACACGCACUGCACAUCAAUCAUUCCAUCAGGAAGGAUUUAUGGCCGGAUGAGCUAAGGGGCGAGGCAGGAUUUCAAAGUCAAGGGCGCUCUCCUCUGCAGGCUUCCUCCCCUGCCCUUGAGCAUGCCCCUGCCUGCCCUUAUUUCUCCCCCAGCCUUUUGUGUGCUUGAGCACGACAAUAACCAGCCGACACGCCGGCUACAAUUGCAAGGAUCCGGCAAUUGCACGGGUGCAGACGCAGUUACCCAGAAAUAGUCACAGCUGCAGAGAUUUCCAUCUCCCUCUCUGGCUGAUCCUCUGGGGGUCUCAUUCAUCUGGGCUCUUUUUUCACAUAAGCACUGAUUUUUCCAGAGCUGCCAGGGAGCAGGUACGGAUAGCCCCAGCCCCAGCCCCAGCCCCAGUUCCAGCCAAGACCUUGAGGCACCGCUCUAACACACAGCUGUGCAAUCAGCUGAGACACCCUUAAUUUGUGGCUAACCCCCUUCCCUACAAGGAGAUUUUAUCCAUGCUUUGCUGCUUGUAAGCCAAGAGAAUUAUGUUCUUCAUUAAUUUAAGGUCUGGGCUCUCUAGGUUUAAAAAAGAUCCUCAUAGAAAUACCAAAUAUUUUCCUAUUCCUUUAUUCCUCAUUGUGAUAAUAAAUCUUGUUCCUUUUCCAUAACAGAACAAAUAAACAGGGGAAAAUCUCCCAAGAGCUGAAUCCUUAUUAGGAUCUUGAAAGCAAAUCAAGUUUUUCACAAGCUGCAGGAAAAGAAGCCAGCUAAGUGUUCUCCAGGUGAAAUUAGGGAAGAUGUUUCUGCCAGAAAGUUAUUGCUGGGGACAGCAUGAACACAGUUGCAGAGCCAGGCUUGGGCUGAGGGACAUCUGUACUCUGGAUAAAACAGAGCAGCUCUUCCUCACAAGAGUGAGAUGCAUUGCCAGUGAAAAAAACCCAAACAUCUCCCUGGAAAUAGUCCCAGAGGCUGCAGUGAAACCCCAGUGGCUGAGUGAGGAGGAUGGCCACGCACCUGGAGUGCUGAGCAAGGUGAGGAUGCGGCAUGGACAGGGAAUGCUGGCAGUGGAGGAGCACAGGGAGGCAUCAGAAGCACUCAAGUGCUAUAUCCCAAGAACAGGAAUUGCCUCCUGGCCAUUGAUAAGGUUAGGGCUUGGUUUUGUGAUCCUGUUUGGAAAAGCAAAGCUCUGGGAGCUGUUUUGCCACUGCAUUCUGCAGAGGCACAAAGGUGGGGAGGGGGCAGAGCCAACAGGCACAAGACUUCAGGAGAGCAGGUGUGGAGGGAUGAAGGAUCUUAAAUGCUCCUUUUCUGCAUUAAGGUCAGAGUUUGGAGUUAAUCCAGGACCCUGCUAUAUAAUUCAAAUCCACAUGGCCUGUAGGUUUGGGGAACAAGUUGGGAAGACCCCAGGGCACUUUGACAUUCCUAAAGUCUGUGAAUUUAAUGAGUGGGCUGGUAGGGACGAUGGACAGUGUCUGAUUCUCUGUGCCUGGUGUUUAAACUUAUGUUUGGACUAAGGCUCAGCAACCCAAAGGUUGAGAAGACCACCAGUUUAUUGCUGUAUGGUGCAGGGCCAUUGGAGAUUCACUGUCACUUGGGGAAUACAAGAGAGUUGGGAUAGGGAGUCAAAGGCAGCUGAAUCCAGUGUGCCAAAGGUUGGGAGAGCUAGCAAAGGACUGAUGCCAUUUGUAGCCUCUGCACUGCAGGUGUUUGGUCUCAGUAGCCAGAGGAUAAUCAGUUAAAUACCACCUGUGUAUUGCCCAGGAGAGCAGCCCAUGCUAUAGGGACCUCCGAGCUCAGAAGAGGGCAGGUGAUUGAAGCCCAGGACAUCAGCCCUUCCUGUCUGCAGUCAUGCUCUCAGCAAAUACAGGCAAACUUAGGGUCUCUAAACCCUCAAAAUGCUGGGUUAUGAAACCACAGGGACCUUUGGUGCUUGUGUGCUAUUUUCUCUUGGUCCAGGUACCACCCCUGGCAGGAUUAAGCAGCAGGUGACCCAAAUAAAGCACUCCGGACACAAACUCAGUAACUCCAACCCAUGCUUUGAUUCAGCAAACUGCUUCAAGGUGGUGCCUAGUAAGUUCCUCUGAUUUAUCUUAAAGUUAGGAGGGGCUUUAAGGCUGUGCUAAUUAGCAUAGACCCACGGCUGCUGUGCAGAGUACAAACUGAGUGCUUCCCGUGAACCAUGACUCGCUAGCUUCAGCUGCAUGGAAUUAGUGUUACUUUUAGCAAAGGGGUAAAAUCCUGCCCCAAAUCAGGGCAGAUUGCCUACUCCUGAGAUACCAUGCUCUGUGCUCUUCAAGAUAAUGCAGGGGACUCUGUUUCUGCAUGUUCUCUUUCCGCUGGACUACAGGAGAGGCUUUCAGUGCAGACAGAGCGCU